rnacentral:SRP_RNA from 1 species
ACAGCGGCCCUGCGUAACAGUGAGGUGUGAACUCCGCCAGGUCCGGAAGGAAGCAACGGUAAGCAUUUUUCGCUGUGUACCGCGGCAAGUCGCUGCCCG